rnacentral:snRNA from 1 species
UAUCAGUUUAAUAUCUGAUAAGUCCUCUAUCUGAGGACAAUAUUUUAAAUGGAGUUUUGGAAUUAGGAGAUGGAAUAGGAGCUUGCUCUGUCCACUCCACACAUCGACCUGGUAUUGCAGGACUUCCAGGAAUGGUGU